rnacentral:rRNA from 1 species
AGUGAACGCUGGCGGUAGGCCUAACACAUGCAAGUCGAACGGCAGCACAGUAAGAGCUUGCUCUUACGGGUGGCGAGUGACGGACGGGUGAGGAAUACAUCGGAAUCUACUUUUUCGUGGGGGAUAACGUAGGGAAACUUACGCUAAUACCGCAUACGACCUACGGGUGAAAGCAGGGGAUCUUCGGACCUUGCGCGAUUGAAUGAGCCGAUGUCGGAUUAGCUAGUUGGCGGGGUAAAGGCCCACCAAGGCGACGAUCCGUAGCUGGUCUGAGAGGAUGGUCAGCCACACUGGAACUGAGACACGGUCCAGACUCCUACGGGAGGCAGCAGUGGGGAAUAUUGGACAAUGGGCGCAAGCCUGAUCCAGCCAUACCGCGUGGGGGAAGAAGGCCUUCGGGUUGUAAAGCCCUUUUGUUGGGAAAGAAAAGCAGCAGGUUAAUACCCCGCUGUUCUGACGGUACCCAAAGAAUAAGCACCGGCUAACUUCG